AUUAUUCUGCUGUUGCUGUGUGUCCUGGAGAUCCUGCAGCUUUGGAUCAGCAGCACUGGCCCUAUUUAUGCUUCCCAACUGUUCACAGAUGCUAUAAAUUUUGGGAUGAGCCAACUCUGAUGGAUCUAGUGGUAGCUGAGCUGGUCAGCACAUUGACUCUCCCUUAUGAGGUCCACCAGGACAAGCCCUCCAGCACUGCUCCAGCCAGACCACCUAAUGUCCAUCACCAAGAGGCAGGGCCCCAUUCUGAACAUGAGUUUGCUGGUGGAGAAGAUUGCAUGACACACAUAAAAGUGGGCGAGGAAGAGGAACAAGAAGGAAAUGGAAGAGGCCUUCAGAUGAAGAUGUUGAACUCUCAGUUCUUCCUGCACCAUGCCUGCCUGGAUGCUGUCAUGCUCCUGCCUUGAUGAAAAUGAACUGAACCUCUGAACUUCAUACUAUGCCAAGAAAAUGCAGGCCUUUGGUCAGUAUCCCACUGAGAGCCCUCCUUUGUACCAGUGGACAUCACUUGUUUUUAGGGGCUAUGCAAAGCUACUAAUACCAAUUUCUAAGUGAGUAGGGCAUAUUUUCAUUAUAUUUCUUCAUUCGAAAUGCUAAAUAAAAUGUAAUUUAUUAUCC
ensembl:lincRNA 4930519H02Rik RIKEN cDNA 4930519H02 gene